rnacentral:rRNA from 1 species
GACGAACGCUGGCGGCGUGCUUAACACAUGCAAGUCGAACGAAGUGGCGAACGGGUGAGUAACGCGUAAUCAACCUGCCCUUCAGAGGGGGACAACAGUUGGAAACGACUGCUAAUACCGCAUACUGAAGGAGGGGAGUGCGUCUGAUCAGCUGGUUGGAGGGGUAACGGCCCACCCAGGCGAUGAACAGUAGCGGGUCUGAGAGGUUGGACGGCCAAAUGGGGACUGAGACACGACCCAGACUCCUACGGGAGGCAGCAGUGGGGAAUCUUCCGCAAUGGACGAAAGUCUGACGGAGCAACGCCGCGUGAGUGAUGACGGCCUUCGGGUUGUAAAGCUCUGUUAGUCGGGACGCGGUACCGGAAUAGAAAGCCACGGCUAACUACGUGCCAGCCGCCGCGGUAAUAC